rnacentral:rRNA from 1 species
AUUGAACGCUGGCGGCAGGCUUAACACAUGCAAGUCGAACGAGUGGCGGACGGGUGAGUAAUGCUUGGGAAUCUAGCUUAUGGAGGGGGAUAACUCCGGGAAACUGUAGCUAAUACCGCGUACCAUAGGCUGAGCCCAAGUGGGAUUAGGUAGUUGGUGAGGUAAAGGCUAACCAAGACGACGAUCGCGAGCUGGUCUGAGAGGAUGACCGUCCACACGGGGACUGAGACACGGCCCAGACUCCGACGGGAGGCAGCAGUGGGGAAUAUUGCGCAAGGGGGGAAACCUGACGCAGCCAUGCCGCGUGAAUGAAGAAGGCCUUCGGGUUGUAAAGGUCUUUCGGUAGCGAGGCGUUAACUACAGAAGAAGCACCGGCUAACUCCGUGCCAGCCGCCGCGGUAAUAC